UACAGAGACUGCAAGCGUUAUUCGGAUUCAUUGGGCGUAAAGGGCGCGCAGGCGGCCAAGUGUGUGAGGCGUGAAAGCCCGGGGCUUAACCCCGGAAUUGCACCUCAAACUACAUGGCUAGAGCAUUGGAGAGGGUAGCGGAAUUCACGGUGUAGCAGUGAAAUGCGUAGAUAUCGUGAGGAACACCAGAGGCGAAGGCGGCUACCUGGACAAUUGCUGACGCUCAGGCACGAAAGCGUGGGGAGCAAAAGGG
rnacentral:rRNA from 1 species